UAGUAUUCAAUUGUCAGGGGUGAAAUUCUUGGAUUUAUUGAAGACUAACUACUGCGAAAGCAUUUGCCAAGGAUGUUUUCAUUAAUCAAGAACGAAAGUUAGGGGAUCGAAGACGAUCAGAUACCGUCGUAGUCUUAACCAUAAACUAUGCCGACUAGGGAUCGGAUGAUGUUAAUUUUUUAAUGACUCA
rnacentral:rRNA from 1 species